UACGUACGAGGCGAGCGUUUAUCCGGAAUUACUGGGCGUAAAGCGCGCGCAGGUGGUUCGUUAAGUAGGGCGUGAAAUCUCCCGGCCUAACUGGGAGGGGUCGCCCUAGACUGGCGGACUUGAGGCUGGCAGAGGUAGGUGGAAUUCCUGGUGUAGUGGUGAAAUGCGUAGAGAUCAGGAGGAACACCGGUGGCGAAGGCGGCCUACUGGGUCAGCACUGACGCUGGAGGCGCGAAAGCCUCGGGGGAGCGAACGGG
rnacentral:rRNA from 1 species